AAGGGGCUUCGGUCCUGAGUAGAGUGGCGAACGGGUGAGUAACACGUGGGUGAUCUACCUUCGAGUGGGGGAUAACGUCCCGAAAGGGACGCUAAUACCGCAUGACGUUCCGGGUUUAAAGACCUGGAAACCAAAGCCGGGGACCGCAAGGCCUGGCGCUUGAAGAGGAGCCCGCGUCCGAUUAGCUAGUUGGCGGGGUAAUGGCCCACCAAGGCGACGAUCGGUAGCCGGCCUGAGAGGGCGGACGGCCACACUGGAACUGAGACACGGUCCAGACUCCUACGGGAGGCAGCAGUGGGGAAUUGUUCACAAUGGGCGCAAGCCUGAUGACGCAACGCCGCGUGGGGGAUGAAGGUCUUCGGA
rnacentral:rRNA from 1 species